GCGCGAAACCUCCGCAAUGCGAGCAAUCGCGACGGGGGAAACCCAAGUGCCACUCUUAACGGGGUGGCUUUUCUGAAGUGUAAAAAGCUUCAGGAAUAAGAGCUGGGCAAGACCGGUGCCAGCCGCCGCGGUAACACCGGCAGCUCAAGUGGGGGCCGUUUUAUUGGGCCUAAAGCGUUCGUAGCCGGCUUGAUAAGUCUCUGGUGAAAUCCCGCAGCUUAACUGUGGGAAUUGCUGGAGAUACUAUCAGGCUUGAGGCCGGGAGAGGCUGGAGGUACUCCCGGGGUAGGGUGAAAUCCUAUAAUCCCGGGAGGACCACCUGUGGCGAAGGCGUCCAGCUGGAACGGACCUGACGGUGAGUACGAAAGCCAGGGGCGCGAACCGGAUUAGAAACCCCAGUAG
rnacentral:rRNA from 1 species